AUGAAGUAUGAAGCAGUCACACUAGUCACAUCAUGUGUGGAGGAGAACAGAGCAGAGGUUUUUGUACGGCCUCUUCAUUACUUUGUAUCACUGUGGUACACGUUUGGAGGAGGAACACAACUCAUCGUGGACUUGGGAGUACAGCGGCCCACCCUGACCGUCCUGCCCCCGUCCAGAGAGGAGCUGCAGAGGGGCAGUGCCUCGCUGCUGUGUGUGGCCAGCGGGGGCUUCCCCUCUGAUUGGACGCUGGGCUGGAGAGUGGGCGGAGCUUCCACAGAGGGGUCCCACAGCCCAGAGGUGAUGAGAGGGGACGGCCUCUACAGCCGCAUCAGCGUCCUGAGGCUGUCCACAGAGCAGUGGACAGACACAUCAGUGAUCUGUGAGGCCCAUCGGAGUGGACAGAGCCCAGUCACUCAGAGCCUGGAGUCACUGUCCUGCUCCCAGUGAGACACGUCCACAUGAGGACACACUUCACCUGCUCUAUGGGACACUCCCUGGGUUUGACUGAGCUCAUGGAGGCUCAGGGAUAAACAUGUGACUCUGCAGCUUCAUGUUACUGUGUUUUGUGCUAAUAAAGCUUGUGCUGAUCAAAA